CGGAGGGAGCGAGCGUUGUCCGAAGUUACUGGGCGUAAAGCGCGCGUAGGCGGGGGAUUAAGUGAGAAGUGAAAGGCUGAGGCUCAACCUCAUGCAGUGCUUCUCAUACUGGUUCUCUUGAGGGUGGUAGAGAGAAGUGGAAUGGCUGGUGUAGCGGUGAAAUGCGUAGAUAUCAGUCGGAACACCAGUGGCGAAGGCGGCUUCUUGGGCCAUUACUGACGCUGAGGCGCGAAAGCUAGGGGAGCGAACGGGAUUAGAUACCCCGGUAGUCCUAGCCGUAAACGAUGGAUACUAGGUGUCGGGGGUAUCGACCCCUCCGGUGCCGCAGCUAACGCACUAAGUAUCCCGCCUGGGGAGUACGGCCGCAAGGUUG
rnacentral:rRNA from 1 species